AUGAAGAAAGAAAACUAUCCAAACUCAGAUUUAGAUCAUCUCCCUCACACUCCUCUACAUCUAUGCUUUGUCAGUACAUUCUGCUUUGUUAACAGAUUCAAAAUUAUCAAAUUGUUACACCGGAGAGAUCUUACAGUUAUAAAGAGAGUGCAUAAAUAUAGUUACACGCCAUCGUUUGAAUAG